rnacentral:rRNA from 1 species
CAGUGGGGAAUAUUGGGCAAUGGAGGAAACUCUGACCCAGCGACGCCGCGUGAGGGAUGAAGGCCUUCGGGUUGUAAACCUCUUUCAGUAGGGAAGAAGCGAAAGUGACGGUACCUACAGAAGAAGCACCGGCUAACUAUGUGCCAGCAGCCGCGGUAAUACAUAGGGUGCAAGCGUUGUCCGGAAUUAUUGGGCGUAAAGAGCUCGUAGGUGGUUCGAUACGUCGGAUGUGAAAAUCAGGGGCUCAACCCCUGACCUGCAUCCGAUACGGUUNGAGCUGGAGUUUGGUAGGGGAGACUGGAAUUCCUGGUGUAGCGGUGGAAUGCGCAGAUAUCAGGAGGAACACCGAUGGCGAAGGCAGGUCUCUGGGCCAAUACUGACACUGAGGAGCGAAAGCGUGGGGCGCGAAC